GCAGAUGAAGAGGAGCCUGCCACUGACCUGCUGAAAUUCCACUCUGGCUCUUUGUGUAGUGUUUGCUCAAUCUGUGAGCACUGCUCUAAUAACUGUGACAAAUGUCCCUGUGAAGAUGAGUCGGAUCACUGUGAGCACUGCCAAGAAUGCUCAUCCUGCUACAUUUGCCCCAUACUGUGUGACACAAUUUGCACACCAGGUGGCCUUGUUGAUGAGCUAACUGGGACCCUCUUUCAGACUGUUGCCUCUCUACUCUGAAUAACCUGAAGACUG